UACGUAGGGUGCAAGCGUUGUCCGGAUUUAUUGGGUUUAAAGGGUGCGUAGGCGGCUUUGUAAGUCAGAGGUGAAAUACUCUAGCUUAACUAGAGGGGUGCCAUUGAUACUGCGGAGCUUGAGUACAGAUGAGGUAGGCGGAAUUGACGGUGUAGCGGUGAAAUGCAUAGAUAUCGUCAAGAACACCGAUAGCGAAGGCAGCUUACUGGGCUGUAACUGACGCUGAUGCACGAAAGUGUGGGGAUCAAACAGG
rnacentral:rRNA from 1 species